UACGUAGGGGGCAAGCGUUGUCCGGAAUCAUUGGGCGUAAAGCGCGUGUAGGCGGUCCGGUAAGUCCGCUGUGAAAGUCGGGGGCUCAACCCUCGGAUGCCGGUGGAUACUGUCGGGCUUGAGUACGGAAGAGGCGAGUGGAAUUCCUGGUGUAGCGGUGAAAUGCGCAGAUAUCAGGAGGAACACCAAUUGCGAAGGCAGCUCGCUGGGACGGUACUGACGCUGAGACGCGAAAGCGUUGGGGAGCAAACAGG
rnacentral:rRNA from 1 species